GGAAGAGACUGGCCAGUUAUUCACCAAUUCAUCUGCCUUUCUCUCCUGGCCACAGGGCUAAGACACAUUAUCCAAACUAUUCUUUCAGUUAGGUUGUCAUAUGGCCAAGUUCAGGCAAAAGGACAUGGAAGGAAGAUAUGGGCAUUACCUGUGGUUGAAGCUCACAAGCUGUUCCCCAUAAUCACCGAUGCAAGGAUUUUAUUCCUCGAUACGAUGGUUGGCUUCAGAGACUCUGAUGUACUAAGCACUGUGCACCAGAUACUGUGUCAGGCAUCAGAAAUCCAACUAUGAUGGCAUUCGGGAAACAGACAGUGACUGCAGCCAAGAGCAUGAGGUAAAAUGAUGGUAUCUAGACAGUAAGUUCCAGGCCUCAGUUCACAGAGAAGAAAAGCACAGAGUACCAACUUUUCCUAUACUGGCUGAUGGUGUGCUGUAGGAUGAGAACACAUUCUCCUCCUGGCAUGACCUGUGGGAGACUCCUGGCUGUACAAGCAGUUGAUUCAACCGCUGGCUGGCAGGUGCAUAACCGCGGGUGGUGGAAGUAACAGUUAAUUACUCUCCAUCCGGUAAAAUCUCUAGGAGACUUUUUUUCUCUCAAAAGAAAAUUUUGAUUUGCAUAAAAACAAUUAGAUGCUCUAUAACCUAUAAAAAGACUAAACAGGACAAGAAGAAUACUGAGAAGAAAAUUUUGUUUAACCUAAGAAUAUUUCAGUAAAUUCCAGGGGAAGGAGAAUUUGAAUGCUGGUUGAUUAUCUACAGCAAGGACAGACCAGCAAAACCCAACUCCAUAUUAGAAGGUAAACUCUCCCUGCCAGGGGUUUUGCUUCCUUCACCACUGAA